rnacentral:misc_RNA from 1 species
AUCAUGGUUUUUGCCGGCUUGGUUCGCCAAGCUCGGCUGGACUGAAAUACAACAAGCUGGAUAGAGUAAUUGCGGCUUGACCUGACGUUGUAGACUUUUCAACUCGUUGGGGACGCAUCUAUUCUAAUGAGCUUAUCAAAUGACUAAUUUGAUUAGUGCAAUCAGACCUCAAAUCAGGCAGGACUACCCGCUGAACUUAA